rnacentral:tRNA from 1 species
GCCUGGGUGGCUUAGUGGGUUAAGCAUCUGACUUCAGCUCAGGUCAUGAUCUCACAGUUUGUGGGUUCGAGCCCCACGUUGGGCU